CUACGGGAUGCAGCAGUGAGGAAUAUUGCACAAUGGGGGGAACCCUGAUGCAGCAACGCCGCGUGGAGGAUGACGCAUUUCGGUGUGUAAACUCCUUUUAUAUGUCAAGAAAAUGACGGUAGCAUAUGAAUAAGCACCGGCUAACUCCGUGCCAGCAGCCGCGGUAAUACGGGAGGGUGCAAGCGUUACUCGGAAUCACUGGGCGUAAAGGACGCGUAGGCGGGUUGGAAAGUCAGGUGUGAAAUCCUACAGCUUAACUGUAGAACUGCACUUGAAACUUUUAAUCUAGAGUAUGGGAGGGGGAGAUGGAAUUAGUGGAGUAGGGGUAAAAUCCGUAGAUAUCACUAGGAAUACCUAAAGCGAAGGCGAUCUCCUGGAACAUUACUGACGCUAAGGCGUGAAAGCGUGGGGAGCAAACAGGAUUAGAUACCCCCGUAGUC
rnacentral:rRNA from 1 species